AGGAAAAAUGUCCACAUGUGUAAAAUAUGUGUAUAAUUUUACACAUGUUUUGCACAUAUAAUGCAUGUGUACAACACAUGUUUUAAAAUUUAUAUGUUGAACACAUAUAUUAUACACGUGUGUAACAUAUACAUUUUACAUAUGUUUAACACAUAUAUAAAAUAAUAUAUGUUCAAUACAUGUUUCAAAGAACAUAUACACGAAAAAAAAAAUGUUUAAUUUAUUAUUUAUUUUCAUGACUUUCACCUAUAUUUAUGCAUUUAUUAGUAAAUACUUGUAAAAUUAAAAUUUAUUUAACAAACUUUUGCCGAGUAACUUACAAAAAAUUUAUUAGUUAACCAAUUCCGGAUUUAAAUCGCGAUUGGCUUUAAUUUUGUCGUUUGCAAUCAUACGUCAUUUUUUACGUCACGGGAGCAGAAGAUGUUGAAUCAUUUACAGAUAUUCGAUUUGAGGCUAAAGGUAAGGUUUGUCAAUCAUCAUCUUAUUCAUUUAUUUGUAUUGUAAAAUUAUACAAAUGUUGCUGGUUACACACGGAGUUAUUUUACAACACGUGAAGUAGCUCAGAGCUUGUGUUCCGGCUUCAGGAAAAUUCGGGUUGAAAACAAGAAACCUGUAUUGUCAACGAUCGAUGCUUAUCCAAUCUACUUAGGUGAAAUUGAUGAAAGUUUUUAGAUGAAAUGUAAAAGCAAAUACGGUGAUUUAAUGUAUAUAUACACAUAAAGUUAUAUAUACUACAUCUGUUAUAUGUAAACGGUAGGUCUGUCGGUAAACGUUUUCCACAAAGCUUCAAUUAAGCAGUUGUAGCUGAAAAGAAAGCAGAUUUAUAGACAGAACAAUGCUUGAAAAUUAAGCGAACAUUAAUUAUAUGUUUAUCAAAUGUAUUUUUAUUUAGAUCAGACACAUUUUAAUCUUGAAAAGUGAAAGUAGAAUAAACUAGAGUAAAGCUCGUUGCAAAGUAACGAGCAGGUAUUCCAUAAAACUUAAAGCAGCAAGUCGAAAGUUUUAUAUAAUUUUGUUGUUGUUGUUGUUGAUAUAUCAAAACUGAAAAUUAAAUUGAUUGUUUAAAAUGUUACUUAUUAUGCAACAAGUUGCUAAAAUGUUCAGUCGGUUACUUAAUAUAUAUUAAGUGAGUAUGCUAAUUAACACACUUUAUUUUCAGACAGGUCACAGAAGACAUAAACUAACCCAGUGGAUAGCAGGGAUAUGUCUCUCUAAACUGUUUAUGCAGUUAAAAUGGCUAUAGUACAAAGGCUACCAAUAUUUGGUCGGUCAGGAAGUCUGAAGACAUGGAGUAAUGAAUUUUUCAAGAUCCAUACAUUCUUCUUGAGUUCAUAGACAGUUCUACACUGCAGCUGGUAUAAAAGUGACAAAUUAUGAAAGAACCCAGUCCACACAUGAAUUGCUAAGGUCAAUGCACUGAAAAGAAGGAAGUUGUAGUUAGAUCGACAUAGAGAUGGCUAGUUUUUUAGCUGUUCCACUCUACAAUGGACUAAUUUGAGACCCUCUCCCCCUGGAUGGCCUGUGCAAUUAAUUCAGACAAUUCACUCCACCAGGAAAGAGUCCUGUGGACAUGAGGAGAAAGAAGAUGACAUUAGCACUUAGGUUAUUCCUAACAAAGAAAAAGUUUACCGAAUGUUAGAAGUUCUGGCCAGAGUUUAAAGAGUUCUAUGUAUUAAUAAAAAAGACAACAGACGAAACAUCUGGGAGCUUCUGCAGAAAAAAGAAGAAAGAGGAAUUAAAGGUUACCAAGAGGUAAGUUAAAAAAUUGUUGUGAUAUCACUCUUUUACA